UACGUCAGUGGCAGACGGGUGAGUAACGCGUGGGAACGUACCUUUUGGUUCGGAACAACACAGGGAAACUUGUGCUAAUACCGAAUAAGCCCUUACGGGGAAAGAUUUAUCGCCAAAAGAUCGGCCCGCGUCUGAUUAGCUAGUUGGUGAGGUAAUGGCUCACCAAGGCGACGAUCAGUAGCUGGUCUGAGAGGAUGAUCAGCCACAUUGGGACUGAGACACGGCCCAA
rnacentral:rRNA from 1 species